AGAAAAACCCAGCAUUCUAUUUAAAAACAAGCAAACAAACAAACAAAACCUUUCCCCAUAUUGAGAGGGAACUGAGAGACCAAAGAAUGACUUGGACAAGUCCAGCUUGGGAUGCUCCAUGAGGAGAAAAGUCACAGGUCCAGCACCAGGCACAACUACAAAGGAGGUAACAUUGGUUUGGUCACCUUUGCCUUUCCUGGCAUGUGUAUUCCCAGUUGGACCAUUGGGUACCCACUUGAAAAACUUUCAUUAGCCAAGAGAAGCCUAAAAUAUGC